AAUACAGAGGGUGCAAGCGUUAAUCGGAAUUACUGGGCGUAAAGCGCGCGUAGGUGGUUUGUUAAGUUGAAUGUGAAAUCCCCGGGCUCAACCUGGGAACUGCAUCCAAAACUGGCAAGCUAGAGUAUGGUAGAGGGUGGUGGAAUUUCCUGUGUAGCGGUGAAAUGCGUAGAUAUAGGAAGGAACACCAGUAGCGAAGGCGACCACCUGGACUGAUACUGACACUGAGGUGCGAAAGCGUGGGGAGCAAACA
rnacentral:rRNA from 1 species